ensembl:snoRNA Small nucleolar RNA SNORD49
UUCAGUGAUGAAAUAGCUGCAUAGGAAGUGCCGUCUGAUGCGAUAACUGACGCUGGCUAAAGCUGCUCUGAGA